CCUACGGGAUGCAGCAGUGAGGAAUAUUGGUCAAUGGUCGGGAGACUGAACCAGCCAAGCCGCGUGAGGGAUGAAGGUACAGAGUAUCGUAAACCUCUUUUGUCAGGGAACAAAGGCGGGGACGUGUCCCCGGAUGAGUGUACCUGAAGAAAAAGCAUCGGCUAACUCCGUGCCAGCAGCCGCGGUAAUACGGAGGAUCCGAGCGUUAUCCGGAUUGAUUGGGUUUAAUGGGAGCGUAGGCGUGUUGUUAAGUCAGUUGUGAAAGUUUGCGGCUCAACCGUAAAAUUGCAGUUGAUACUGGCAUCCUUGAGUACAGUAGAGGUAGGCGGAAUUCGUGGUGUAGCGGUGAAAUGCUUAGAUAUCACGAAGAACUCCGAUGGCGAAGGCAGCCUGCUGGACUGUAACUGACGCUGAUGCUCGAAAGUGUGGGUAUCAAACAGGAUUAGAUACCCGUGUAGUC
rnacentral:rRNA from 1 species